GUUCCGUCGCUGAUAGCGCCGAUCGCAGAUAGUGGUGCUCUCUUUCUCUCUUCACAGCAGUCUUGGUGAGCCCCCAUUUCUCCAGGGGGUUUUGUAGUUUUUCUUUUGUACAAAUUUUCAUAUUUUGAGGUAUAGCCGGGGCCUUGUUGCCGGCAUUAUCAUUUUGGUCUUUUGUAUCCUUAGAGGCUCCGUAGACGUUUAUGUGGGUCAUGUAUGGGUGCCG
rnacentral:lncRNA from 1 species